rnacentral:rRNA from 1 species
GAUGAACGCUGGCGGCGUGCUUAACACAUGCAAGUCGAACGAUGAAGCCCAGCUUGCUGGGUGGAUUAGUGGCGAACGGGUGAGUAACACGUGAGUAACCUGCCCUUAACUCUGGGAUAAGCCUGGGAAACUGGGUCUAAUACCGGAUAGGAGCGUCCACCGCAUGGUGGGUGUUGGAAAGAUUUAUCGGUUUUGGAUGGACUCGCGGCCUAUCAGCUUGUUGGUGAGGUAAUGGCUCACCAAGGCGACGACGGGUAGCCGGCCUGAGAGGGUGACCGGCCACACUGGGACUGAGACACGGCCCAGACUCCUACGGGAGGCAGCAGUGGGGAAUAUUGCACAAUGGGCGCAAGCCUGAUGCAGCGACGCCGCGUGAGGGAUGACGGCCUUCGGGUUGUAAACCUCUUUCAGUAGGGAAGAAGCGAAAGUGACGGUACCUGCAGAAGAAGCACCGGCUGACUACGUG